rnacentral:rRNA from 1 species
GACGAACGCUGGCGGCGUGCUUAACACAUGCAAGUCGAACGGAAAGGCCCUGCUUGCCGGGUACUCGAGUGGCGAACGGGUGAGUAACACGUGGGUGAUCUGCCCUGCACUUCGGGAUAAGCCUGGGAAACUGGGUCUAAUACCGGAUAGGAGCCAUUUUUAGUGUGAUGGUUGGAAAGUUUUUUCGGUGUAGGAUGAGCUCGCGGCCUAUCAGCUUGUUGGUGGGGUAAUGGCCUACCAAGGCGGCGACGGGUAGCCGGCCUGAGAGGGUGGACGGCCACAUUGGGACUGAGAUACGGCCCAGACUCCUACGGGAGGCAGCAGUGGGGAAUUUUGCACAAUGGGCGCAAGCCUGAUGCAGCGACGCCGCGUGGGGGAUGACGGCCUUCGGGUUGUAAACGCCUUUCGCUAGGGACGAAGCUUUUUGUGACGGUACCUAGAGAAGAAGCACCGGCUAACUACGUG